AACGCACCUUGCGCUCCUAGGUCUUCCGAGGAGCAUGCCUGUUUGAGUGCCCAGAAUUACUCUCAACCAAGACUCUGGUAUUGGUUGGAUCUGGGGUCUGCCGUCGACUAGUUCACGGCUCCUCCUAAAUGUAUUAGCUUAUUGGUGAUGAACCGCUGUCGGCUUGAUAUUAGUGUCUAUGCCUCAGCAGUCUGUGUGCCAUGGCUUACAGUCGUCCUUGGACAAUAUUCUGACCUCGGGCCUCAAAUCAGGUAGGAUUACCCGCUGAACUCAA
rnacentral:misc_RNA from 1 species